CAGCCGCCACGGUAAUACGAAGGGGGCUAGCGUUGCUCGGAAUUACUGGGCGUAAAGGGAGCGUAGGCGGAUCGUUUAGUCAGGGGUGAAAUCCCGGGGCUCAACCUCGGAACUGCCUUUGAUACUGGCGAUCUUGAGUAUGGGAGAGGUGUGUGGAACUCCGAGUGUAGAGGUGAAAUUCGUAGAUAUUCGGAAGAACACCAGUGGCGAAGGCGACACACUGGCCCAUUACUGACGCUGAGGCUCGAAAGCGUGGGGAGCAAACAGGAUUAGAUACCCCGGUAGUCCCUGUCUCUUAUAC
rnacentral:rRNA from 1 species